rnacentral:rRNA from 1 species
CCUACGUGAGGCUGCAGUGAGGAAUAUUGGUCACUGGUCGCGAGCCUGAACCAGCCAAGUCGCGUGAGGGAUGACGGUCCUACGUAUUGUAAACCUCUUUUGCCGGGGAGCAAGCGUUCGUUCGUGAACGCUCGUCGAGAGUACCCGGAGAAAAAGCAUCGGCUAACUCCGUGCCAGCAGCCGCGGUAAUACGGAGGAUGCGAGCGUUAUCCGGAUUUACUGGGUGUAAAGGGAGCGUAGACGGCAGCACAAGUCUGGAGUGAAAUGCCGGGGCUUAACCCCGGAACUGCUUUGGAAACUGGGCAGCUAGAGUGCAGGAGAGGUAAGUGGAAGUCCUAGUGUAGCGGUGAAAUGCGUAGAUAUUAGGAGGAACACCAGUGGCGAAGGCGGCUUACUGGACUGUAACUGACGUUGAGGCUCGAAAGCGUGGGGAGCAAACAGGAUUAGAUACCCUGGUAGUC